rnacentral:ncRNA from 1 species
CUUGACAUACCGGGGAGCUUGCAAGCCGCAUGAGCGGCCGGGCAGGCUGAGAGGAAGCGCCGAAGCACGCUUCGACCCGAGGAACCUGACAUGGGUAAUGCCAACGAAGGGAGCUCUAUGACGCAGAUCA